rnacentral:lncRNA from 10 species
CUUUAUACUUUAUAUCAAGUAUUUACUUCAAGAUACUUUAUAUCAAGUAUUCAAAGUCCACUAAAGAUUAUCUGUAAGUAGAGAUUUGAAUCAAAUGACGAAGUAAGUGAGUGAGGAUUUCUAGAGGGGAAAUCCUAGCAUUCUAGGAGAGGGAAUCAUAAAUGCAAAGGCCCAGAAGAUGGGAGCUGUUAGCAUGUUAGAGGUCCAGCAAGGAGUACCUGGAGUAGAAGGAGCCAGGGAAAGAGAGUUGGGAGGUGAAGUCAAGAGAGAUCCAGGGGCCAGACUCAGAGACCAUGGUUAAGAUUUUCUUCUGAGAGACAAGAGAAGCCACUGGAGGAUUUUGAGCAGAGUGGCAAGAUUACAGGACAUGGUAUCAGUAGGAUGACACCUGGCUCUCAUCGCAUCACCUUAGAAUAAGGAAGAUUUGUGCCAAAGGGAAACCAAUGAGGUUAUUGCUAGAAUUGCAAUUUUCAAUACUGACUUGCCGCUAGCAAGAAGAAAACAGAAAGGAAAAAGCAUACGAAGGAGUGGAGGAAACAAAUUGUAUAUCCAGGAUAUACCUGAAGACCAGUUGAGUCACAGAAACUGGAAAGAAAAAAACACUUAAGAGUUAAGAGAGAGGAGGAGUGGAAGAAAAUAUCCCCAUGACAGAUAUUAUAAGGAUUUUGAGACGGACCUUAAAAUACUUCUCAUCAGAGGGGCUCCAGCAGCUGCGAGAAGGCAUCCCAUCACCGAUGUUCCAAGAUAUCCUGGCUUACAAAGCUCUCCAUGUGCUGUUUGGCAUCAAAAACAUUCUGCCUCCUUUUCUUUUUUUCUUUCAUACUCCACUAUGGAAUAUGGAAUGUUUUCUUUCUGUGAGGAUAGAGCAAGGACUGGCUUCUUGACAUAGGAAAUUGACUAUAAACAAGAAAAACAUCUGCUGAAGUCAUGAGGUGCUAUUUUUCAGUAUUCAGGAUCAAGGAACCCUAAAGCUAUAACAAUUCUAUAAUUCUAUAAUGUUAAAGAUUUCUCCUUAACAGAUGGUAGUCAUUACAAGUUACUGCAGGGCAUAACUCUUCAAAGGCUAAGAUGAAAAUUUGUCCCAUGCAAAAAAGAGAAGAGAUUUGAUGAAGAAAAGGCAGGGUCAAGUGAUUUUUAAAUCGUGUUAGAAUUCUCCAACUCUUUUGAAAGUUCUAUUUUCUCAUAAUUAGUUUUAGAAAGGUGACUUAGUCAUAAAUUUUACAUCAUAAAAAUCACUGGGCUUCAGAAAUGUAAUAGCUACAUGUCUUUACUGAAUUCAAAAUAAUCCCAUAACUCUUGUCAAAUGCUUUUAGAAUUUAUUAUCACUAAAAGGAUAAUGGUUUAUGCUAUUUCUGUAUACAAAAUGCUUCAAAUUAAAUAUAUCAUGUAGUGACAUGGUCCAAAACAAUUGUCAGUGUCAUGCACAUAUUGGGCUCAUUAAUUCAUUUGUUCAUUAAUUCAUUCCUUCUACAAGUAUAUAUUGAGCAUCUUUUAUAAUCCCAGGCAUUGUUCUAGGUGCUGAAGAUACGAUUAUGAACAAAAGAAACAAAAGUCUCUUUUUUCAUAGAGCAUACCACCACUCUGGAAACACAUGCAUACAGACACACACAGACACACAUGCUAGUGUUAAAUGAAGGAAUAAGAUACUUUUGGAGUUGCACAGUGUGGUAAACAGACUUUAAGGUGGCUCCAAAGAUUCCUACCUCCUGGUAUUCAUGCCUUUGUGUAAUCUUCUCCCCUUGAGUGUGGGCAGGACCUGUGGCUUUCUUUUAAGCAAUCUAAUGUAACAAAGAUAAUGGAAUGUAGGUGAUCCUAUGUCCUUAUUAGAAUCUCCCUCCCUCUUUCCCUCUCUCUUUUUCUCUCUCUCUCUGUCUGUUGUUCAAUCUCAUUUUCUAUCUCUCUCUCUCUCUGGCUUUGAAGAGGCAAGCUGUCAUGAAUCUUAUAGCCUCAGGAGAAAGAAUGCUGCCAAUGACCUAAGGGAACUUGGGAGCUUAUCCUUCCCCAGUUGAGCCUCUGAUGAGAACUCAGUCCUGGUUGACACCUUGAUUGCAGCUUUGUGAGACACUAAGCAAAGGACCCAGGUAAGCCAUACAUAGAUUUCUGACCCACAGAAACUGUGAGAUAAUAAAUACCUAUUGUUGUAAGUUGCAAAGUUUGUAGUUGGUUAUAUGGCAGAGAAAAAUAUUAGAAACAGAAUUGUCGUCAUGCUUUUGGGCCAUAGAGAUAACUAACCCUCUAAAAUAAAACACCUCAAAGGAAUUUCUAGAUAAUUAGGCUAUGUCUUCUGUGAAGGAAUAUUUUUAAGAGUAUUACAUCAUUGGGUCAAAUAUUAUUUUGUGUUAACAUAUUUAGCACACAAGUACUUAUGGCCUGUACUAAUCUGAUGGACUGGGCCAACCAUAUAGGACCAGCCUUGUCUUUACCAAAUGGACUAAUUUAUAAACAAGCCCAUGCUAGUCCCAUUUUUGCUCGCAUACAAUAAACCAGGACAAUGGGCUCACUUAAAUGACUUAAGUAUAAUUGUGCUUAAUCUGUGUAGACCAAUUUACCAAGAACUUUUACUAAACUUAUAUCAUGUAACCUCAUACUAAGUCAGUGAGAGGAGAAUUUUCCUCAGCUUUUCAAGGAAACUGAGGCUGAGAGAAGUAACAAACUGCAUAGUUAAUAAGUGACAGGUGUGACUGAAGCCACCAAAUGUCAUCAGAAAAUAAUGCAUGGCUCAUUUCAUUCCACCAUGGCUAUGACAGGUACCUGUAUAGGAAAUUAACUGCUCUGUGCUUGCAGUUUGCCCUGAGCCAACUGAGCCUAUCAGAGCAGACUCUGAGCUGAAGCAGCUCCCUCCUCACUUUUUUACAGGAAAUGUAAGCCAGCAUCAAUACUUUCUUUUCCAUCAGAAACAGCUAUAAGCAGCAUCCGAACAAAAGGGAAUGAACAAAACGGAAUAUAUUCUCCUUAGAGUAACUAAGAUAGUAAAAAACAUUAGCUAUAUUAGAGGCACUGUGCCAGGUACUGGGAAUAGAAAAACGGGUAAGAACUCGCCUCUCCUCCUUCCACCACCAUCACUAAGAGCUAUUAGUGUGGGAGACAGAACUUACAUCAUUUCAGCUUGAUCCGUUCAGUCCUGAGAGAGGGGUCUGACUGCAAGACCACUAUGGUACCGCAGUGGACCAAUGGCUCUACCCUUGGCUUUCAGAGAAGUUUUCUGAGAGGAGAAGGAGCCUUAAUGGAGGUCUGCAAAGCCAAGUAAAGUUUUAAUUAUGUGUUCCAAGCAAAGGAAAUUAGUAGGCAACUUAGAGAAGCAAAAAGCAACUUGCAAUGUACAGGAACUCUCAGCAGUUGAGUGUGAAUAAUAAAUGAAGCAUAGGGCAUGAAGUAGCCAGAGAGUCAGCAAUAAAAUUUAUAGAUUAAAUUGCAUGUGUGCCUACUAUAUGGAAGACUGGUAAGAACCUUAAAGACAAUCAUUUAAUUCUAACAACUGAGGUAAGCACCGUUAGGAUCCUCAUUUUCCGGAUGAAGAAAAUGAGGCUCAGAAAGGCAAGUAACUCAUACAAGUUCUCACAGCUAACAGCUGUCUGAGUUGACAUUUGAACUUCAGGGUCUCAGAAAACGAUACCCCAAAAUGAAGUCCUCAGAAGCAUCUUUCUUGCUUCUCUUACCCUCUUGCUCUGGCCUUCAUUUUCCCCUGAAGUAGCCAUAGAAACUAGAAUUCCUCUUCCCUAAGCUGGGCCAUAGAAGUCAGAACCCCUUUUCCCCAGAACCAGCCAUAAAACCUAAAAUUAUUACUCUAAUUCCCCACCACCACCCACCUCUUCCUUUGUGUGUAAAAACUGUCUAUAAAGAAAUUAUCUGAUUCUACCCCCUUUAUCAUUUUUUAUUGCAUCUAUUUGAUUCUUCUCUCUUUUCUUCUUUAUUAGUCUUGCUAG